rnacentral:snoRNA from 1 species
UUGGACUAUAUGAUACGCAGGUUUGAUUCUAGUUCAUCAAAACUGUCACUUAGAUGUCCAAAGAGCAAAACUGCCUUCUGAUGACCAUGCUACUUUCAGACCCUUGGUAUGGACAGAUACGAGGCAAACAACA